rnacentral:rRNA from 1 species
GAUGAACGCUGGCGGCGUGGAUAAGGCAUGCAAGUCGAGUGGGUUUAGGCCCACGGCAAACGGGUUAGUAAUGCAUAGGAAUUUUCCUCGAAGUCGUGAAUAAUCCGGAGAAAUCCGGAAUAAUACACGAUGUGCUCUACGGAGUAAAGAUUUAUCGCUUUGAGAGAAGCCUAUGUCCUAUCAGCUUGUUGGUGGUGUAAAGGACCACCAAGGCUAUGACGGGUAGGGGGUGUGAGAGCACGGCCCCCAACAUUGGGACUGAGACACUGCCCAAACUCCUACGGGAGGCUGCAGUCGAGAAUAUUCGUCAAUGCGCGAAAGCGUGAACGAGCGACGCCGCUUCGUG